CCAUUUUCUACAGGACUGGCCACCUAAUGACAAACUUUCUCUUCAUCUGUUAUCAGGCAAGUUUACGUUUCUGCUUCGUCUGGUGUCUUUCCGUCAUGUUUCAGGCGUUUGAGGUGGACGUUUUUACCUUUUUCAUGGACGGGGUCACGUUCCCUGUCUCUCGUGCAAGUUGGAUUGUUUUUCUAUUCCUUUUCGUUUCCUAUUCCUAUUUCAUGGUUUCAGCCUUGUAUUGGUAUAUUGAGCUCACCCCUUCGUUGCGACGGUCGCCUUCCGGAUAAUUGCUUGUCUCCUGCAUGAGCCCUCAUAAAGCCGUGUUGGUUUAAAUGUUGGUGAGAUGGUUUCCUUGUUUCCUAUCCCUUGCUGAGGUGGACCCCUCGUUCAGUGUGCAUUCUGUCCACAGGGCGGCGGCUUCUUAGGCCUUUUCGGCAGAUGCCUCGCUUUCGUAUAUCUUGCGACCGGCGGAUUGUUCUCGAGAAGAGAUUUUCCAGACUUUCUGUUUUCGCCCCUCUUCUAAUGCUGCUUUUUUUCUCCUUUCACAGCGUUAAAAUUGCAAAAUAUAAAGCCUCAUGUCAUGUAAAUUGAAGAUCAUACUAGCUUUAGUGUACUAAUAAUCUUAAUUUUAGUAAUGACAGGAGGCGAGUAUUUUCCCACCCUGCUUUGCUAUCCCACCCUUUCUGUUUGCUUCCUUUAUAUGUCUCACUGGUCUAAGGUAGGUUGGGCUCGUAAUGUUUUGUGUAUACAUUGACGGUUUUAUUUCCAUUGGUUUGGAAUUGUCAUCGAGUUUUAUGUGAUUGUUGUAGUUUACACGUUACUAUGAAAUUAUGUAUUCUGUGUGUUACCUGGAUUUCCACAUUUAU